CCCUACGGGACGCAGCAGUGGGGAAUAUUGCACAAUGGGGGAAACCCUGAUGCAGCGACGCCGCGUGAGUGAAGAAGCGUUUCGGCGCGUAAAGCUCUGUCAGCGGGGAAGAGACACGGGUCGCGAGAGCCGCGGACGGUACCCGACCAAGAAGCCCCGGCUAACUACGUGCCAGCAGCCGCGGAACUACGUAGGGGGCAAGCGUUAUCCGGAUUCACUGGGUGUAAAGGGAGCGUAGACGGCGAGACAAGUCUGGAGUGAGAGGCAGGGGCCCACCCCCGGGACUGCGCUG
rnacentral:rRNA from 1 species